rnacentral:rRNA from 1 species
GUAGGGAAUCUUCCACAAUGGACGAAAGUCUGAUGGAGCAAUGCCGCGUGAGUGAAGAAGGGUUUCGGCUCGUAAAACUCUGUUGUUAAAGAAGAACACCUUUGAGAGUAACUGUUCAAGGGUUGACGGUAUUUAACCAGAAAGCCACGGCUAACUACGUGCCAGCAGCCGCGGUAAUACGUAGGUGGCAAGCGUUGUCCGGAUUUAUUGGGCGUAAAGCGAGCGCAGGCGGUUUUUUAAGUCUGAUGUGAAAGCCUUCGGCUUAACCGGAGAAGUGCAUCGGAAACUGGGAGACUUGAGUGCAGAAGAGGACAGUGGAACUCCAUGUGUAGCGGUGGAAUGCGUAGAUAUAUGGAAGAACACCAGUGGCGAAGGCGGCUGUCUAGUCUGUAACUGACGCUGAGGCUCGAAAGCAUGGGUAGCGAACAGGAUUAGAUACCCCGGUAGUCC